CCAUCUGAUGGUCCAAGAUGGCUGCGGUGGGUCACCACCUACUCGCUAGUAGGAGGAAACAAAGGGAGAAGAGAAUUUCCACUUCUCUUAAGGACACUUCUUGGAAGUGACAAACACUACUUCUACUUGCAACCAUUGAUCCGAGCUAUAUCUCAAAGACUUGCCCAGCUGCAAGAGAGACUGGAUAGGAGAAGAGAGAAAACAGAAAAGACAAUAGAAAAAGAAAAAAUGGGACAAGAGCUCACAUUCAUGGACCUACACUGAUAGAACUUGGAGGAGUCCACAUUAAGCCUUCUU